GUAGGUGGCAAGCGUUGUCCGGAAUUAUUGGGCGUAAAGCGCGCGCAGGGCGGUCCUUUAAGUCUGAUGUGAAAGCCCACGGCUCAACCGUGGAGGGUCAUUGGAAACUGGGGGACUUGAGUACAGAAGAGGAAAGCGGAAUUCCAAGUGUAGCGGUGAAAUGCGUAGAGAUUUGGAGGAACACCAGUGGCAAAGGCGGCUUUCUGGUCUGUAACUGACGCUGAGGCGCGAAAGCGUGGGGAGCAAACAGGAUUAGAUACCCUGGUAGUCCACGCCGUAAACGAUGAGUGCUAAGUGUUAGGGGGUUUCCGCCCCUUAGUGCUGCAGCUAACGCAUUAAGCACUCCGCCUGGGGAGUACGGCCGCAAGGCUG
rnacentral:rRNA from 1 species